rnacentral:rRNA from 2 species
AACCAGCACCUCAAGUGGUCAGGAUGAUUAUUGGGCCUAAAGCAUCCGUAGCUCGUUUUGUAAGUUUUCGGUUAAAUCCAUGCGCUUAACGUAUGGGCUGCCGGGAAUACUGCAUAACUAGGAAGUGGGAGAGGUAGACGGUACUCGGUAGGAAGGGGUAAAAUCCUUUGAUCUAUUGAUGACCACCUGUGGCGAAGGCGGUCUACCAGAACACGUUCGACGGUGAGGGAUGAAAGCUGGGGGAGCAAACCGG